rnacentral:rRNA from 1 species
GAUCCUGGCUCAGGAUGAACGCUGGCGGCGUGCUUAACACAUGCAAGUCGAACGGAGUUUUAAACCGAAGUUUCGGAUGGAAGUUAGAAACUAGUGGCGGACGGGUGAGUAACGCGUGGGUAACCUGCCUCAUACAGGGGGAUAACAGUUAGAAAUGACUGCUAACACCGCAUAAUAUAGCGAAACCGCAUGAUUUUGCUAUCAAAUAUUUAUAGGUAUGAGAUGGGCCCGCGUCUGAUUAGCUAGUUGGUGGGGUAAAAGCCUACCAAGGCGACGAUCAGUAGCCGGCUUGAGAGAGUGACCGGCCACAUUGGGACUGAGACACGGCCCAAACUCCUACGGGAGGUAGCAGUGGGGAAUAUUGGACAAUGGGGGAAACCCUGAUCCAGCCGACGCCGCGUGAGUGAAGAAGUAUUUCGGUAUGUAAAGCUCUAUCAGCAGGGAAGAUAAUGACAGUACCUGACUAAGAAGCCCCGGCUAACUACGUGCCAGCAGCGGC